UUAAGUUAUUAAGGGCGCACGGUGGAUGCCUUGGCACUAGAAGCCGAUGAAGGACGUUACUAACGACGAUAUGCUUUGGGUAGCUGUAAGUAAGCGUUGAUCCAGAGAUUUCCGAAUGGGGGAACCCAGCAUGAGUUAUGUCAUGUUAUCGACAUGUGAAUUCAUAGCAUGUCAGAAGGCAGACCCGGAGAACUGAAACAUCUUAGUACCCGGAGGAAGAGAAAGAAAAAUCGAUUCCCUGAGUAGCGGCGAGCGAAACGGGAAGAGCCCAAACCAACAAGCUUGCUUGUUGGGGUUGUAGGACACUCUAUACGGAGUUACAAAAGAACAUGUUAGACGAAUCAUCUGGAAAGAUGAAUCAAAGAAGGUAAUAAUCCUGUAGUCGAAAACAUAUUCUCUCUUGAGUGGAUCCUGAGUACGACGGAGCACGUGAAAUUCCGUCGGAAUCUGGGAGGACCAUCUCCUAAGGCUAAAUACUCUCUAGUGACCGAUAGUGAACCAGUACCGUGAGGGAAAGGUGAAAAGUACCCCGGAAGGGGAGUGAAAGAGAACUUGAAACCGUGUGCUUACAAGUAGUCAGAGCCCGUUAAUGGGUGAUGGCGUGCCUUUUGUAGAAUGAACCGGCGAGUUACGAUCUGAUGCAAGGUUAAGCAGCAAAUGUGGAGCCGCAGCGAAAGCGAGUCUGAAUAGGGCGUUGAGUAUUUGGUCGUAGACCCGAAACCAGGUGAUCUACCCUUGGUCAGGUUGAAGUUCAGGUAACACUGAAUGGAGGACCGAACCGACUUACGUUGAAAAGUGAGCGGAUGAACUGAGGGUAGCGGAGAAAUUCCAAUCGAACUUGGAGAUAGCUGGUUCUCUCCGAAAUAGCUUUAGGGCUAGCCUCAAGUGAUGAUUAUUGGAGGUAGAGCACUGUUUGGACGAGGGGCCCCUCUCGGGUUACCGAAUUCAGACAAACUCCGAAUGCCAAUUAAUUUAACUUGGGAGUCAGAACAUGGGUGAUAAGGUCCGUGUUCGAAAGGGAAACAGCCCAGACCACCAGCUAAGGUCCCAAAAUAUAUGUUAAGUGGAAAAGGAUGUGGCGUUGCCCAGACAACUAGGAUGUUGGCUUAGAAGCAGCCAUCAUUUAAAGAGUGCGUAAUAGCUCACUAGUCGAGUGACACUGCGCCGAAAAUGUACCGGGGCUAAACAUAUUACCGAAGCUGUGGAUUGUCCUUUGGACAAUGGUAGGAGAGCGUUCUAAGGGCGUCGAAGCAUGAUCGCAAGGACAUGUGGAGCGCUUAGAAGUGAGAAUGCCGGUGUGAGUAGCGAAAGACGGGUGAGAAUCCCGUCCACCGAUUGACUAAGGUUUCCAGAGGAAGGCUCGUCCGCUCUGGGUUAGUCGGGUCCUAAGCUGAGGCCGACAGGCGUAGGCGAUGGAUAACAGGUUGAUAUUCCUGUACCACCUAGUAUCGUUUUAAUCGAUGGGGGGACGCAGUAGGAUAGGCGAAGCGUGCUGUUGGAGUGCACGUCCAAGCAGUAAGGCUGAGUGUUAGGCAAAUCCGGCACUCAUAAGGCUGAGCUGUGAUGGGGAGAGGAAAUUGUUUCCUCGAGUCGUUGAUUUCACACUGCCGAGAAAAGCCUCUAGAUAGAUAACAGGUGCCCGUACCGCAAACCGACACAGGUAGUCAAGAUGAGAAUUCUAAGGUGAGCGAGCGAACUCUCGUUAAGGAACUCGGCAAAAUGACCCCGUAACUUCGGGAGAAGGGGUGCUCUUUAGGGUUCACGCCCAGAAGAGCCGCAGUGAAUAGGCCCAAGCGACUGUUUAUCAAAAACACAGGUCUCUGCUAAACCGUAAGGUGAUGUAUAGGGGCUGACGCCUGCCCGGUGCUGGAAGGUUAAGAGGAGUGGUUAGCUUCUGCGAAGCUACGAAUCGAAGCCCCAGUAAACGGCGGCCGUAACUAUAACGGUCCUAAGGUAGCGAAAUUCCUUGUCGGGUAAGUUCCGACCCGCACGAAAGGCGUAACGAUUUGGCACUGUCUCAACGAGAGACUCGGUGAAAUCAUAGUACCUGUGAAGAUGCAGGUUACCCGCGACAGGACGGAAAGACCCCGU
rnacentral:rRNA from 1 species